rnacentral:lncRNA from 1 species
UUUUCUUUCGCUGGCAGGUCUGAACCACACACCAUUACUUAUCUUGUAGUCAGGGAAUUUCUCUCAGCUUCCGUGUCAUCACCAGCUGCACCAGCUCUGCCACUGAUCCCAGAACGUCUUCUAUGACUGUGGCAAUGACGGCUUCCUCUAAAGACCCACAGCGAAUUCUCGGGAUGAGGCUGAGCACUCUCCUGUGGGCCGGAGGAGAUGGACCUUCCUGAGAGAGCCGUGGUCUGAGAGUGCAGGGGGGCUGGAUGAUGGGAGGUGAGAGGGUAAGUGUGAGGUGCACCCAGAGACUGCUGAGGGAGACGCCCUGCUGUGAGGUUGCUGGAGGAUUCCUGGAGGGAUGUGCCAUCGCAUUUGGGGGCAGUCAAGUUUGCCUUGUGUGAGAGAGUCUGAGAAAGAGAUGACACUGGCUGACACAGGAGGCCAAGUGAACACUGGGACAGGCUGAGCAAUUUCAAUGCUCCCUCAGGUAUAACUUAAAACUCAUCUCAAGUGUGUUGACUGAAAACUCAGACUCUCUCCUUCUGGAGGAGAAAGAAAGGACAGAUGAAGAAAUGAAAGGGAUGCUCUGACUAAGUGUUAGUAAGCCACAGGCUUGUUUGAAAGGCAAGAUUGUAGGGAAUCAGAACAUCAGUUUUAAUCUGAAAGAAAAAAUAAUACAAGGGUAGUUCAGUUCCUGAUAUCCUCCUGAAGUCGAGGCUGAAGCAGUAGGACCGAGGUGAUAGGAAAUGUGGGUUGAGGCAGCCAGGAGAGGAACAAAACUGCAUUUAACGUGAACAAAUAUUUGAGCCCAGGGUCCUAGUGAUGAGAAAGUAUUUGAUAAAAGCAUUAAAUCUAGUACCUCAUUCACAAAUGUCCUGAAACAGUGGGCAUGACAAAUUUCAAAGUUGUCCCUGCACCCUUUACUGCAAAGUCUGUCUUGUGAACGUGAAGUUAACCACCCCAGCAUUUACUGAGCACCUGCUGAGUGACAGGCCCUGUGCAAGGGCCUUGGGUGGAUGCUCUCAUUCAGUCCUCUCUCAGUGAGAUAGGUCCUGUGACCAUCCACACUAAUCAAUGAAGAAACUGAGGCACAGAGAGGUGAGAGGUGGCAAAAGGCCACUUAUCCGGCAAGGGAUGGAGCCAGGGUUCCCACUCAACUGUGUUCAGCUCUGAGCUGGCACCUUAGCGUCCAGGAUGGUGUGGCGGUGCUACACAAUAUAUAGAGGCUGUGAAAAUAAUGACAAUGUGGUGGAGCCACACAUCACACAGGGCUUAGGUCUAAAUUGAGUUCCUUGAAAAUCACACGUUGCCCAGUGUUGGAACAGAUCACAGUUUUUAGUUUUUUCUGUGUUGAGCGUAAGAUGAAUAAAUGCCUGGAGGGAGCCGGCUCCAUGCCCACUGGCACGUCCUGCCAGAGUCCCAGUGUCCUUCCUGGGGACAAACCAGCUCAGGCAUCCCCAGUGCACCCAGCAGACUCCAGAGGAUGGCUCUCCCGUCCCCGAGAGAGGCCAGGUGCUGGCCUCCACUCUGCCCAGCCCUGAUCCCCUCGGGCUCCUCAUCUGACCAACGGGCUGCAGCUGGGGGACUGCACCGGGCUGGGCUGUGCCUUCCUUCCCUAAGAGCGGGCAGGUCCUGGAACAUGGGGAACUGAGUCGUGGAAAACAGAACAGCCUUUCCCUCACCCUCCUGUGGGCCUCCCCGGGGUUCAUCCAGAAAACGGCCCAUCUUCUCAACCUCUGACCUGAGGCAGACAGAUCCCCAUCCUGGGGCGUCCUCCCCGCUCUCGGCACCUGCCUCGCCUCCAGCGUCCGUGUUGGCCCAGGGUCGGGCCCUUUAAUUUAAAGAUGCCAUUCGUGUGAGAGUUGAGCGUUGUGCCCUCGACAGCGAUGCCUUUUACAAGCUGGGUCACGGAGAACUGUGAGCGGCUACCAGAAAGCACUGGAGCUAGACCUUGUGAGGAACCCGCGCGCACAGGCGCUCACACCACAAACAGCCUCACCAGCCGGAUCAGCUUCAUCCCAGAACGUUCCUUCCGGGGAGCCCUGGGUCUGCUCUGAAGAUGCCCUGGAGCGUCUGGCCGGAUGGGCCGGGUCACGGGGUCUGGGACAGAGAGGGGAGUUUGUGUCCUUGGUGAUGGAGAGGCUUGCCCCAUCCUGCUUUAGAGAAGGUCCGUCCUUGUCGCCAGAGCUGGCUGUCCAGGAACAUCCUGUUUGCACACAGAUGGUCACUGUGAAGGACAGAGAGGAGCCUGACUGCAUCCCCUGAGCGCUUGGAUCCAGCCAUGCCUGAAGGGAUUCUGAAGCUGGUUCUCCUAACUGGAGAAGCCCAGAAAGGAGAGCCUGGAGGAGAAGAGACAGAUUCCUUGACGUCAGUCCUGACAGGAGGCGGAAGGCAGACAAUGCAGCCAACCCUAUGCAAACACCAGAAAUUUCCAGAAUGUCGGUCCCCACCGUGGCGUGAUAGCCAGUCCCACAUACGGGUCUGUGGUGGAAGAAAAUCACCUGUGAGAAAGCAGCAGCACCAGACCCCGUAUGUUUGCUUAUUUUGUUGAUGGUUUAACUGCAAACUCGAUGUGAUUUUCUGGGGACGGGGACUGGGUUGGCACUCUGGGUAGUUUAUUACAUGACCUUUAGCGCCAAUCAUUUAUUCCCGCUGUGGUUUUCCACUUGGAUUUAUUUUCACCGCCAGCAUAGAGUCCCCCACUUGUGUUUCUGAGGGAUCUGAAGCUCACUUAAUUGGUUACCGUGGUUGACCUCCUCUUAGCUCCCAGGCGUGCCGGGAAAAGUACACCAUCCAACUCAGGACGCAGAGAGCAGCGUUUCCUCACCCUGAUUUUGAUUUGUCAUUUUUUUGAAAGUUAAGAACAAAUUUUAAGAGGGUUUGACCUAAGAUACUCAACUUUUUAUGACAAAUUAUUUGCAAACAUAAUAUCUGAACUUUGAAGUUUAGCGGGAAAGAACCUAAUAGUCACUUUUCACCUUAACUUGGGCCCUGAGCUAUCCUGGAGGCGUUGAUCUGAUUUCUGUUAAAUGAACGACAUUUCUCUUUUUCUCUGGUUCUGAGGUUUCCAGCCCUCAGAUUAGGACCAGCCCCCGAGAGGGCCUAAAUCCUCUGAGCACUUCCUCCUCAGGACCACGGACAGCGCAGACACACCCCUCCUCUCUUUGGGGCCUGGGGAGUCCCUUCCUGUACAAUUACCUUGCAGGGAAAGCCCCAGCCCUGCCUGCAGGAGCCUGUGCUCCAGGCGAGACUGCCCUCGGUACUGGAGGGGCCCUGAGCACUGAUUUGUGUUACAAACCAGAAUUCCCAAAUGUCAGUGAAUUCUGCCGGGAGACCAGGUGACACUCAGACACAGGAAGAAAUUGCCCACGGCCCUCAGAUUAGGGCCUGGCCCUGUGGCCUCCACUAGCCCAGGACAGACACCUCAGUGCAGUGACCGCUGCAUUAAAGGCUGCCGGCCCAGCUGAACCAGACACGGACCGGGAAGGAAACCCCAGGCCUGCCCACAGGAGCAUGAGGCCAGGUGGCCAUGUGGGAGCAAAGAGGGUUAUUCUCCCAGGGGAGAAGAUUGAGGCCUGAACCCAGGAAGCAGAGAGGCCUCUGGCCUCCCCCACCCCACUCUGGGUGACCUUGGACCAGUCCUGCUCUGGGCUCAGUGUUCUCAGCUGUCAUGUGACCCUGCACUGGAUCUGAGGUAUGAAACAGCAGGUGCCCCCGGUAAGCCCCAACCCACCCCAGCCGGGCCUCCCACAGAGCUGGACUCCAACCUCCAGGUGUAAGUCAGAGAAGACAGCCACUCUGAGCUCUCGGCACCCAGGGGACUGACUGCAGGGACUCAGGAACAGGGCUUGGAAGACCCAAAAGGCCAGCGGGGAUGGCCGUCACCCAGACAGCAGCGACAGCAGGCUGGGAGCAGCCACAUAGCCACUCACUGGCACCCAGGAGGGCAGGGACCAGAAGCCUGUGCACUGGGGACCGGAGCCCUGGAGAUGGCACCGCCAGAACAGCCGCAGAAGGCUCAACGAGGGGAAGGCCCCUGUGCACCGCCUUCUGUCCUUCUGUCUCCCACUUCUGCCUUCCAUCUGCCAAACCCCACAGAAGCCAGCGGACCCCAGAGGACACAGCAGGGCCAGCCCCUGGACACAGGUCAGGGGAGGCAGAGGGGUCUAAGCACAGAUAAACCAGGCUAGAGCCGGGCGUGGGCCCUCGCUGUCUGGGAUCUCUGCAUGUCUGAGGGCUUGCUUUCCCAUUGCUGCCUCUAGUGACUUUAAAAAUCACUGUCUAACAACUAAGAUAUGCAAUUAUGUACUGGGGGGGAUUUGGGGAUAAAAAGAAAAAAAAAAGAUUGGCAACAGUUGUUAGCUCAGGUGCCAAUCUUUAAAAAAAAAAAAUCACCGUCUAAUGCCUGUCAAGUCAGUGCCUUAACCUGGAAUGAUGAGCAGGCCACCAGGGGCUCCCCUGCCUCACCCACCCCAAGAGGCUCCCUCUCACCAGCACCAGGAACUGGGGGCCUCAGGUCAGCGGGUCUGGCUGGAGCCUCUCAGAGGCCGUCACCUCUGGCCCCUCAGCCACAGGCUGAUCCAGGAGCCAUGGAGCAUAUUCUCGUAAAGGGACAAGUAAUGAAAGGACACCAGAGGGGCAGCAGACUAUGAGGAGUGGGCACAGCUUAGAAGGAUGUGGAGCGAGGGGUCCCAGCAGGGGAUGGGCAGCUGCGGGCAGAACCCUGGUCAGGGGCAGCACAAGUCUCAGAGAGGCUCAGGGCCUCUGCCCACAUGUUGGCUGGACCUGGGCUGGGCUGGACACCCUGGGCUGCAGUGGCUUUGUGGGCACCUCACACAUCUCCUCUGACAGCAGCACCCCCUGUUCCAAGAGGACCCAUCCCGACUCUGAGACCUGACUGGGCGGCCUCCUGGCAUGCUGGAUGCUGGAGUAGUCACGUGGUUUCUGGUGUGGUCCCCUGACCCUUGGUGGCCACAUUGACUUGUGGGACCUAGAUGGGACCGGGAGAUGGCUGGACAAGAAAGCCCCCCAGUUGGGUCUUCUCAUUCGGGGAAUCAGCCCAGGGAUCAAGGAAACAAAGGGGUGCACAUCAGGGGAGGAAAUUGGAGUCUGGCAGCUGCGUGUAUCCCCCACAGCCCCCAGGGGGCUGGAAUCAUUGCCCCUAGACUUGCAGUGUGAGCCCGCAGCCUCAGGGCCCUGAGACCCAGCAAGGGGUGUGGUGCCACUGCAGCUGAGUGACUUCUGAUCCAUACACUCAGUCCCAGACAGCACUCCACUCCUCGUCUCUCCCCAGCGGGAAGGAGGAAGCAGAGGGAAGUGUCCCCACGAUGAGACAUGCGCCACCCCUGACCCUGGUCCCAGGGCGGGGCCGCGGGAGCCCUCCCAGGACGGUGGGUGCGUGUGUCCACUCCUCAGGGUGGGCCGCGCAGGUGGGUCGUGGAGCUGCUGGGCCAGCUGCACCGCUGUGUGACUCCAGGACAGACUCGCGGGCGGACACCGCAGAGGCCACUGUGCACUGUCUGCGACCUGGGGAAGAGCAGCCUUCCUGGCCUCGAGCGAGCCCCUGGCUGAGCAACUUCCACAGCCCAGGGAGCCCUGGCGGAGGAGAGGGUUUUCUGAGCAGAGAAUGUUCCCGAGGACCCGGAGCUCAGCUCACAGGCAUCCCUCGAGGGAACGACUCAGAUCUGAAGCCACAGAUAGGCACCAUGAAGCGGGAUCUCGGAGGGAACCGCACACGAGUAGGGACGGGUCAGAGCAGGACCCUGAAGCCAAACCUCAUGGUCUGAGCCCUGCUCACCACUCAGCUGUGUUACCUGGGACAGGUCGCUUGCCGUCUCCGUAUCCGGGUCUGUCAGCUGAGGACAGUGAUAAGCCCGCCCCGUGGGGUGUGAGCUGAUGAGUCUGUGUGGACGGUGCCCAGGACAAGGCCUGGCCCCCGCGACCCAGGGCUCUGGGCUCUCUCCACAGAACUGCCGGGUCAGGGGACAAUUUCCAUCUCCUGUGGGGACGUGACCUGUGCACCCGCCGGGCAGAGGGUGCGACAGUGUUGGGUGGGGCCUGCUCUCUGCGACCAUCCUGAGAGUGAACGACUUGCAUUCUCACCAUACCCACGUUUAAUUCAUAAGGAUUCAAAUACAUGCAUUUUGCCAGAAAAAAUGAGAAAGCUAAUUCAAAUUAAACUGUAAAAUUAAA